GAUGAAGAACGCAGCGAAAUGCGAUAAGUAAUGUGAAUUGCAGAAUUCAGUGAAUCAUCGAGUCUUUGAACGCACAUUGCGCCCCCUGGUAUUCCGGGGGGCAUGCCUGUCCGAGCGUCAUUGCUGCCCUCAAGCACGGCUUGUGUGUUGGGCCCCCGUCCCCGGUUUCCCCCGGGGACGGGCCCGAAAGGCAGCGGCGGCACCGCGUCCGGUCCUCGAGCGUAUGGGGCUUUGUCACCCGCUCUGUAGGCCCGGCCGGCGCCAGCCGACACCCAACUUUAUUUCUAAGGUUGACCUCGGAUCAGGUAGGGAUACCCGCUGAACUUAAGCAUAUCAAUAAGCGGAGA
rnacentral:misc_RNA from 1 species